GAUUCUCCACCAGUCGCUUAAAGACACUCAGAGGAGACACAAGCAGUGAUUGACUCUCUUGUAUUUCACAGGCAGUGAUUGACUCUCUUGUAUUUCACAGGCAGUGAUUGACUCUCUUGUAUUUCACAGGCAGUGAUUGACUCUCUUGUAUUUCACAGGCAGCUAUGCCGAUUAUCGAUUUUGCGUGCGAGGGCAGCAUGCUCUCUGUAACCGUUGAGCUCGGUAUUACAGCCGUUGCCACCGCCGCCGCCGGUUAUCUGCUGUUUCAGAAGUGGAAAGAAGCACAGAAGCGCGCCCGAGAUGUAGCGGAGCCAACCAACCCGGAGCAAGAAAGCACCAGCAGAGAACAGGACACUUCAGCUGCUCCUCCAUCAUCUACUGGUGGUCAGGGCACCGGUACUGGGGAGGGGAGCUGGGGACGAGUUCCCACGGUUGCUACCAUCAUUGGUGGCUUUUUCCGGGCCUUGAACAUGGUCAACAAUGCACUGCGUUAUACAGUGUAGCUGUGGAGAGACACCUUGAAAAUCAUAAAAAAAAAUAAUUAUAAAUAUAAAUAAAUAUUUACAUAUUAUGUCGGAACAAAGAAUUUAAAACUAAAAAUUGUGAUCAGAUCAAACUUCUGAAAAAAAAAGAAAAAGAAAUGAAAUGAAAACAGACAAUCUUCAUUGCUCAGGGGCCAAACAGUGGCAACUUUGCAGCAGUGGGACUUGAAUCAGCAACCUUCCGAUUACUAAUAAAAACAAAAGAACAGACUGUGUUUAAGUCAAUGCUCAGGGGCCCAACAGUGGCAACUUUGCAGCAGUGAGGCUUAAACCAGCAACCUUCUGAUUACUGAUAAAAAAAAAAAAGAACAGACAGUGUCAUUGCUCAGGGGCCCAACAGUGGCAACUUUGCAGCAGUGAGGCUUAAACCAGCAUCUGAUCACUAAUUAAAAAAAAUAAUAAUUCAGAUGAUCUAAUUGUGGUGACCCCUGUAAAAGGGGGGGUGGUGGAGAGGCCAAAAAUAUAAUUUUGGUCCGGGACUAAAAAACUAAAAUUGUAAUUAAAUGAAAGAGAACUGACAGUUCAGGAAAUGUAAACAGUAAUGAAACAGUGUAAAGACUGCAGACAGGGCAGAGAGGGGUCAGACGCAGAGGAGAGGAUGUGACCUGACCGCUCAGCUGAACUUUGAAAUCAUGAAUCUAAAAGGCAGCUGACUGACACCUGACAGAGAAUACAACAAACCACAAGACAAGGCUUCGGCUCUAGUCUGGCGAAUACGCUGCAGAUGAGACGCCUACAGCAAAUAACCUAAAGUAUUGAGGCAAGGUGAUGAUGGAUGCUUCAUGCAACUAAUAAAUCCCCCUCACAGAGCCCAUACGUGUGUUAUGGAGAUGAUCUGUCUCAUGGGUUACCAACAAUGAGGAUGUGACUGGUAAAGGAAGUGGUUUGUAAAAAGUUCAAACCACACUGUUAUGGUGCAUAAUUAAUGAGUGUACAACGUUCAAAUAUAUUCGCAUGUUUUAGCUUCAAAACCACAAUGUAUUAUUAACUCAAUGCUUACCCCGCCUAUGAGGCUAUAAAAAGGAAUGUUCAGGAGUAUACUUUGUCUUUAAUUUCUUUGAUUGCUAAGAGCAUAGAAUUAUUGACCAUUAUAUGUUCAUUGCUUGAGAUAUAUUGCUUAUAGGGACAUAGAUAUUGUUAGCCUAUUUCUUAGCAACAGAGUGUGUAAUAGAGUAAAAUUCUCAGAGGAGACUUUAAGUUUUAUUUUCAAGAAUGGUUGUAAUCAGUGUUUUAUUUGUAACUGUUUAUUGUAUUACUUGAGAAAAUAAAGCGAAUGAGAGAUUGCCUCUUAGAUGCGAUAAAAGAAAA